GUUGGUGCGGCUACUGAAGUAGGUGAGAGGGAGUUUGAAUUAGAGUUAUGUUUAGUGGGCAGAGAGAUGCGACUUGAGUUUGAGUUUGAAAAGUGCAAGGGUGGGGGUCCUUUGUAGCCUCGAAGUAACGAAACGUGGAAGACGGGGUGGAUCUUCGAAGUGGCUGGCAGUCGGAGUUCAUACGCCACCGCGCCGAUACGGCGGAGGAUUUCAAACGGUCCAAAGUAGCGCGGCGCGAGCUUAUGUGAAACGCGACGUUCCACGGAUUGUUGUCGAUACGGUUGGAGGCGGAGCCAUACCCAUUCGCCGAUGUUGAAGGACACGUUCGAGCGGUGUCGGUCAGCAUUGUCCCGCAUGCGUUGGCGUGUGCACUGGAGAUGCUUCUUCAAUUCGUGUAAGAUGACGGUGUGUUGGUGGAGGAGCUCGGUCACGGUGGUCCCGGAGCGUGGGGUAUGGAGCAAAUCCAAAGUGGAUGGUGGUGGACGACCGUAAAGCGCCGUGAAGGGUGAUGUUCCUAUGGCUGAAUGAUGAGAUGUGUUGUACCACAGUUCCGCAAGGUGAAGGAAGCGAUAUCACGAGGUCGGGUGGUCACUGGUAAAACAACGAAGGUAUGCUUCUAAGCCUCUGUUUAUCACUUCUAUUUGGCCAUCUGUCUUGGGGUGGUAUGAUGAACUGAACUUGAGGGUUGUGCCUUGUGCUUGAAACAGGGUUUUCCAGAAGUUGCUAAUGAAAAUGGGGUCUCGGUCAGACACAAUGGAUUUGGGAAUCCCAUGAAGGCGGCAUAUUUCGCUUGAGAAUCGUCGUGCAAUACUUUCAGCUGUGUAGUGGGUUGGAAGCGCAAGAAAGUGGGCGUAUUUUGUGAGUCGGUCACAGAUGACCCAAAUGACAGUGUGACCCGCGGAUGAAGGUAGGUGUGUAAUAAAAUCCAUGGAUAAGUCUUCCCACACUUGAUCUGGUAUUGGGAGAGGUUGUAUUAACCCCUGAAUUUUCUUUGGCAGGUACUUGUUGCGUUGACAUGGAGAGCACUAUUGUAUGAAGGUUUUAACGUCCCUUGUCCAUCCUGGCCAGUAGAAGGACGCGGCCACUCGUGCCAAUGUGGGUGUUAAACCUGAGUGACUUGCGGUGGGAGAUUCAUGGCAUUCUCGGAGAACCUAUUGGCGAAAAGUGUCGGCUUCUGGAAGAAAAAUUUUGUUGCGAAAAAAUAACAGUCCUUUGCGUGUGUGGAAUAGGGAUGGUGAAGGUUGGUUGUGAGUGUACUGCUGUAUUACUUGGAGGUCGUCACUGGUGGCGAAGUAAUUUUGGAGAGUUUGGAAGAUGGUCGGCAUGGGAGAAGAGAUGGACAAAAACACUGAUUUGGGUGUCGAUUCUUGGCGGGAAAGGGCAUCAGCUACGACAUUUGUUUUUCCAGGUUUGUAUACUAUCUUAAAAUCAUAUCCUUGUAGCUUGGCAGUCCACUUUUGCUGUUCUGGGGUUUGGAUUGUUUGGGAUAACAGGGUGUUGAGGCUUUUUUGGUCAGUGAAAAUGGUGAAAUGUGUACCCAGUAAAUACUGACGCCACUUUUUAAUUGCUUCUGUAAUUGCAUGCAUUUCUCGGACAUAAACUGAUGCGGAUUGGAGGCGGGGACACAUUUUUUUGCUGAAGAAAGCUAUGGGAUGGUUGGCUUGGCUGAGGACGGCCCCUACAGCUACAGCAGAGGCAUCN
rnacentral:lncRNA from 1 species